rnacentral:tRNA from 1 species
AAGAUAACAAUUUUUAGACCUUCUAAGUCAUAAACAGCUUUUAAAAAGGCUUUAUCUUU